CCAAACAGGCUGCGCUAUCUCUGUGAUUCAUUGGUCUAGCGAUUUUUAGGAGCACGUCAAUCACCAGAUUUUCCUCGUGCAAGCUGAACCCAGCCCACGAUGGAAUCUGAUUGGUCAAUUUAGUCAUAAGUUGACCUCCCAGUAAAGCCGCGGUUUGGGUUCGUUUACUGUCAGCUCAGCCGGGCGGAGGUUGAUGGCGGUACGUUUGGUAAUGUGAGUUAUGUCUCAUUUUAUGAUGGGAAUACCGAAUCCGGCAGAGCUUAGCUUCUCUAUCCCCGCGUUGUCAUCGGUUGUUAGAGGUCGGCAGAAGUCGGGCAUGUGAACAGCGGUCCUGUCCCAAAGAAUACUUCAGUUACUGAUCAAAGUUUAGCAGUCGUGAGCACUGCUUGUCAACCAGGUGACCGGUCAUCCUAGUUAUCAAUCAAAACGAACGGAUGCAUUCAAAGCUACAGCUACGUUGUUGGCCCCCAAUUUGUUUUGUAAUAUCAGUAACAUUGAGAUGAAUUAUAUGACUCUGUAUAAUUGGUCAACUAGUUAGCUAGUAAACUGUAAUGAAUAUUUGACUCAGGAUAGGUAACAUAAGUUGACCAGCCCCCUGAAUGCCACCAUUUUCAGUAAAUUCACAUUACCCUAGGUGGAGCUGCGCAAGCUGCCUGCUGGGUAGACCACUUCAUUGGCUGUUCAGACCACAGCCGUGUCUGUCAACGUUUUAUGUUAUGUUUUAAGAUUAAUGUUAAAGUAAGGAAAUAUGUGUUAGUAGAAAAACUGUCUUGGGUUUGAGUCACUCCUGGUAAAUGGUAUGUUAACUUGGUAGGAUUACAGAGUGCAGUCACCCCCCAUGACUGGAUUUUAGAGUAACCUUACAUGUAUAUACACGGCCUGUGUGUCGUACAUUAUAAGACAUAUUUCACAAAACCUGCACAAACCAUGACUACUAGAGGGUUAUUAUGAAACCAUUUCUACCAGAAAGACUGAUUGCUUCUAUUCAAUGUCAGCCUAAUGUUAACGUUUUCCGACUGAUAGACCAACAUGUUCAUUGGCACAUGUAAAUGGGUAAUAACAGUUUACCUCUACCCAUACUUGUUUCUGCUAAACAAUGGCAUAAAAGAAACAACGACUACAAUCUAAAUAAAGGUGUAUCUUACUUGAAGGUCCAGAUAGGUGUACAGAGGUGAGCCUAAACUGGAACAUAAUGUGUGUGGAAUGGAAAAACAGUUUUGUAUGAAACAGUUUUUGACUAUUCUUUAAAAAAAACAUCUGGUUUUAUUUUUCCUGCACAAUUCUAUAUCUUAAAAGUUGUUUUAAGCCAAUGCCUUAUUUGUUUCGUUUUGAGCUAACAGCCUUUAAUGGACAGGGCCUCUAGUAUGUUUUUUUCAAGUGGGGAGGAGUUAUAAACAUAGUCAUAGGAGCAAUUACAACCAGUUAGAUAUGAGGCACUGAGAGAGGGGAAGUAUACUAGCCCGAGAAAGAUAUGCAGUACGGGUCCAAAAAAGAUUGCUGGAAGCUCCUGCAUCAUGAGUUCUGAAACAACUGGACAAACUAUAACAGUGAAGACAGAGGAAGCAGCAGCUGCUGCUACUGGUCCAGCUGCAGUGAAAGGGAAGUGGAAGUGCCCCGUCAUAUCCAUAGACAUGAUGUGAGAAAGGUUAGGAAAGAGUGCCAAGAGGAAAGCAUCUGGUAUAGAGCUCUUCCCUUCUCUCUGGGUAGCAUGGCUGUCACUGGGGGUCUCAUCUACAAUGAUCCUGCCACCAUGUGUGUG